rnacentral:rRNA from 1 species
CCUACGGGCGGCAGCAGUGGGGAAUAUUGCACAAUGGGCGAAAGCCUGAUGCAGCAACGCCGCGUGAGCGAAGAAGGCCUUCGGGUCGUAAAGCUCUGUCCUAAGGGAAGAAGGACGGGACGGUACCUUAGGAGGAAGCACCGGCUAACUACGUGCCAGCAGCCGCGGUAAUACGUAGGGGGGAAGCGUUAUCAGGAAUUAUUGGGCGUAAGGUGUACGGAGGGGGUUCUUAAAGCGGAGGGUAUAAGGAGCUGGCUUAACCAUCCUUCGCCCUGUGAACUGGGGGGCUUGAGUAUAGGAGAGGAAAGCGGAAUUCCUAGUGUAGCGGUGAAAUGCGUAGAUAUUAGGAGGAACACCAGUGGCGAAGGCGGCUUUCUGGACGAAAACUGACGCUGAGGUACGAAAGCGUGGGGAGCAAACAGGAUUAGAUACCCGAGUAGUC